UCCCUAUUUUACAGAUGUGGAAACUGAGGCAGUGAGAAGACAAGUGACUUGCCCAAGGUCACACAGCCAGAAGAGGCUGGGUCAGGGUUUGAGGCC
rnacentral:pre_miRNA from 1 species